UCGAACGAGGUGCUUUUUGUAGCAAUACGAGGAGUAUCCUAGUGGCGAACGGGUGAGUAACGCGUGGGUGACCUACCCCAAAGUGUGGAAUAACAGUCCGAAAGGAUUGCUAAUGCCGCAUGUGGUCUGCGAGUUUAGAAAUCGUUGACUAAAGGAGCAAUUCGCUUUGGGAGGGACCUGCGUCCCAUCAGCUAGUUGGUGAGGUAACGGCUCACCAAGGCUACGACGGGUAGGGGACCUGAGAGGGUGGCCCCCCACAAUGGAACUGAAACACGGUCCAUACACCUACGGGUGGCAGCAGUAGGGAAUAUUGCACAAUGGGCGAAAGCCUGAUGCAGCAACGCCGCGUGCGCGAUGAAGGUCUUCGGAUCGUAAAGCGCUUUUCUGAGAGAUGAGAAAGGACAGUAUCUCAGGAAUAAGUCUCGGCUAACUACGUGCCAGCAGCCGCGGUAAAACGUAGGAGGCGAGCGUUAUCCGGAUUCACUGGGCGUAAAGCGCGUGCAGGUGGUUCGGUAAGUUGGGCGUGAAAUCUCCCGGCUCAACUGGGAGAGGUCGUUCAAUACUACCGGACUUGAGAGCAGAAGAGGAAGAUGGAAUUCACGGUGUAGUGGUGAAAUGCGUAGAUAUCGGGAGGAACACCAGUGGCGAAGGCGAUCUUCUGGUCUGUUUCUGACACUCAGACGCGACAGCUAGGGUAGUAAACGGGAUUAGAGACCCCGGUAAUCCUAGCCGUAAACGAUGUGAACUUGGCGUUGGUGGGUUAAACUCCAUCAGUGCCGAAGCAAACGCGAUAAGUUCACCGCCUGGGGACUACGGCCGCAAGGUUAAAACUC
rnacentral:rRNA from 1 species